rnacentral:tRNA from 1 species
GGGCGGUUAGCUCAGCGGGAGAGCACUGCCUUCACACGGCAGGGGUCGCAGGUUCAAUCCCUGCACCGCCCA